UACGGAGGGUGCGAGCGUUGUUCGGAAUCACUGGGCGUAAAGGGCGUGUAGGCGGUCCGUUAUGUCUGAUGUGAAAGCCCGGGGCUCACCCCCGGAAGUGCAUUGGAAACUGACGGACUCGAGUCCCGGAGAGGAGGGUGGAAUUCCUGGUGUAGCGGUGAAAUGCGUAGAUAUCAGGAGGAACACCGGUGGCGAAGGCGGCCCUCUGGACGGUGACUGACGCUGAGACGCGAAAGCGUGGGGAGCAAACAGG
rnacentral:rRNA from 1 species